rnacentral:miRNA from 1 species
GAAAGAAAAAGAAAAAAAGAAAGGAAGGAAGAAAGAAAAGAGAAUGAGAGAAGAGGGGUAUGGAAGGAGGAGAGAACACCACUAGGAAGAUGGACGACCACAAAAACCGAGUUCUUUUUUUUUUUUUUUUUUUUUUUCUUGCCGCUGUUUC